UUUUUCCAUUUUAUCUCCAUUCAUUCAGCAUUUUUUUUGCCAUUUUUCAUUUCAAAACCAUUUUUCCUACAUUUCUCUAUCUUUCAAUUUUCCAAAACCAUUUUUUCAGAACCAUUUAAAAACCAUUUCUGUUAGAAAAUGCUUUUUAAAUGAUCAACAUGCAGCAUUUUCUUUCCAUUUAUUUGAGUAAAUGGAAAAGAAAUGCUAGUUUGGUGAUCCAACUUGCUUGAGUGGACCAUUUUUCUCCCAUUUAUUUUCUGAGAAAUGGAGAAUUGAAAAAAAUGGUAAGCUUUAGAUAGAUUUGUUGGUGGUUAAUUGAUGCCAUGUGCCAGGUUUUUAUAAUAGGGCACUGGAUAUCAGAUUUCCUUCCAUGCUCUGUAGUGACCGCCUUUUCUAGUAAGUUUGAAUAUUGGACAAGAGCACUUUGACCUAGCUGGUAGUGACUUUACAUGGCUGAAGUUAUUCUUCAAGGAGUAUUUAGGUUUUUAGUGAAUUUUGAUGCUGACAAAACUGUACAUUGAUGGUGAAAGCAGAAAAAAGAAUUACUAACUUCUUGGAGGAUGAUAAUUAUGUGACAGUUUUUUCAUGUUCCCAACAUUUGGGAAGUAUAGGCAGAAGAAAUGCAGCACAUUUACCAUACACAGAAAGGACCUUAUUAUUCUUUUUGAGUGAGUACUGCUUCCAUAUGGACAUGAUGGAGCACCAAAAUGGACAUGGGAUUCAAAAUAUAUAUUUUAAAGAUGGAGACAACCACAAUUCAGAUCAAAUAAGGACAAAAACAUUCUAGGAUUCAAAACCAUGCAUAUAUGUGAAAAAAUUAAGCAAGUGACCUCUGAUUUGUGACUGACUCUACAGCAACUAAGAAAAUGGAUUUUUAAAGUGUUUAUUCUUGCAUAUGGAUUAAUUAAGGACCCAGCUAAAUUUUCCAUUUUUCAAUUAUAAAUAAAAUGUGUUAAAAAUGGAUAUUAAAUGGCUAAAACAAAAA